UACAGAGGGUGCGAGCGUUGUCCGGAAUCACUGGGCGUAAAGGGCGCGUAGGCGGUGGCCUAAGCGUGCGGUGAAAGCCCGGGGCUCAACCCCGGGUCGGCCGUGCGAACUGGGUCACUCGAGCACACUAGAGGCGAGUGGAAUUCCGGGUGUAGCGGUGGAAUGCGUAGAGAUCCGGAAGAACACCAGUGGCGAAGGCGGCUCGCUGGGGUGUAGCUGACGCUGAGGCGCGACAGCGUGGGGAGCAAAC
rnacentral:rRNA from 1 species